rnacentral:lncRNA from 1 species
CAGGUCCUGAAUAGAGUCACCACAUUUUCUGAGGUGCACCAUGACCUAUAUCACUAAUUUUCAAGAACUGCACAGAAUACAAGAAGUUAAAGAAAAUCUGUGGAGAGGGAAAGUGCUUGGUCUGAGAAACUCCAGAAUGGUGAAUUGAUACUGAUCUGUGACAAAAGUCUUGAGCACUUUGAAAGCUGACUAAGCAAGCAAGCU